rnacentral:rRNA from 1 species
CCUAGGGGAGACAGCAGUGGGGAAUAUUGCACAAUGGGCGAAAGCCUGAUGCAGCAACGCCGCGUGAGCGAUGAAGGCCUUCGGGUCGUAAAGCUCUGUCCUCAAGGAAGAUAAUGACGGUACUUGAGGAGGAAGCCCCGGCUAACUACGUGCCAGCAGCCGCGGUAAUACGUAGGGGGCUAGCGUUAUCCGGAAUUACUGGGCGUAAAGGGUGCGUAGGUGGUUUCUUAAGUCAGAGGUGAAAGGCUACGGCUCAACCGUAGUAAGCCUUUGAAACUGGGGAACUUGAGUGCAGGAGAGGAGAGUGGAAUUCCUGGUGUAGCGGUGAAAUGCGUAGAUAUCAGGAGGAACACCGGUGGCGAAGGCGGCCUGCUGGACUGCAACUGACGUUGAGGCCCGAAAGCGUGGGGAGCAAACAGGAUUAGAUACCCGGGUAGUC